UAACGCGUGAGGAACCUGCCUCAAAGAGGGGGACAACAGUUGGAAACGACUGCUAAUACCGCAUAAGCCCACAGCUCGGCAUCGAGCAGAGGGAAAAGGAGCAAUCCGCUUUGAGAUGGCCUCGCGUCCGAUUAGCUAGUUGGUGAGGUAACGGCCCACCAAGGCGACGAUCGGUAGCCGGACUGAGAGGUUGAACGGCCACAUUGGGACUGAGACACGGCCCAGACUCCUACGGGAGGCAGCAGUGGGGAAUAUUGCACAAUGGGGAAACCCUGAUGCAGCGACGCCGCGUGGAGGAAGAAGGUCUUCGGAUUGUAAACUCCUGUUGUUGGGGAAGAUAAUGACGGUACCCAACAAGGAAGUGACGGCUAACUACGUGCCAGCAGCCGCGGUAAAACGUAGGUCACAAGCGUUGUCCGGAAUUACUGGGUGUAAAGGGAGCGCAGGCGGGAAGACAAGUUGGAAGUGAAAUCUAUGGGCUCAACCCAUAAACUGCUUUCAAAACUGUUUUUCUUGAGUAGUGCAGAGGUAGGCGGAAUUCCCGGUGUAGCGGUGGAAUGCGUAGAUAUCGGGAGGAACACCAGUGGCGAAGGCGGCCUACUGGGCACCAACUGACGCUGAGGCUCGAAAGUGUGGGUAGCAAACAGGAUUAGAUACCCUGGUAGUCCACACCGUAAACGAUGAUUACUAGGUGU
rnacentral:rRNA from 1 species